rnacentral:rRNA from 1 species
GAUGAACGCUAGCUACAGGCUUAACACAUGCAAGUCGAGGGACCGGCGCACGGGUGAGUAACACGUAUACAACCUGCCCUUUACUCGGGGAUAGCCUUUCGAAAGAAAGAUUAAUACCUGAUAUAAGGGAUGGGGAUGCGUUCCAUUAGGUUGUUGGGGAGGUAACGGCUAACCAAGCCUUCGAUGGAUAGGGGUGCUGAGCGGAAGGUCCCCCACAUUUGAACUGAGACCCGGUCCAAACUCCUACGGGAGGCAGCAGUGAGGAAUAGUGUGCAAUGGGCGCUAGCCUGAACCAGCCAAGUAGCGUGAAGGAUGAAGGCUUAUGGGUCGUAAACUUCUUUUAUAUAAGAAGAUGUAUUAUAUGAAUAAGGAUCGGCUAACUCCGUGCCAGCAGCCGCGGUAAUUC